rnacentral:rRNA from 1 species
AAGGACUUGGCGGUGCUUUAUACCCCCUAGAGGAGCCUGUUCUGUAAUCGAUAAACCCCGAUCAACCUCACCAAUUUUUGCUAAUUCAGCCUUUAUACCGCCAUCUUCAGCGAACCCUAAAAAGGAAUAAAAGUAAGCACAAUGAUUCAAAACAUAAAUAAGUUAGGUCAAGGUGCAGCCUAUAGAUUGGAAUGAAAUGGGCUACAUUCUUUAUUAAAAAGUAUAACGGAAAUUAUUAUGAAACUAAAAAUUGAAGGAGGAUUUAGCAGUAAAUUAAGAGUAGAG